CUGGCGAUGUGUGUGCGGUUGUUUUGUUUGUGGUCCACAGUGAAGCAUACCGCUGAGAAGCACAGUGAGAUAAAGCUGAACAAUGAGAGAUGGGUGUUAUGAGGACGUGUGCCAGCCACACACACACACACACACACACACACACACACACUGAGCAGGAACGCCCCCACACACACCCAUACAAAACAUCAGACACACAAACAUGUUUCCCCCCUAAACACACACACACACACACACGCGCGAGGCAGAAAGAGGUGGUAAUCCUUUCCAUUGAGUGCUCUCACUCUAACACUAGCUCUAACUCUAACACUAGUCCACUGAAUUCUAUCAUAUCACACUUCUGAAUAAAAAAAUGCAGAGAACUACAGCCGAGAAGACAAAUGGGUAAUUGUGAAGAUUUACCUUAACAGGGCUUUAAUUCCUAGCUCUUAUAGAUUAAGAACAUCUUACGUUGAGGCCAGGGUGUAAUAUCAGGUGUGAUUUGUAAGACAUGCUUCAGUUGUCGAUAAAUACAAACCUUGACUUGGUUCAAUGGCUGAGCCACUAGCCCACGCACCAUAAUCUGCUGGAUCCCGGGCUAAGCCCACUAAGUGCAAUGCAGACUAAGAACAGAUGCAUGCGCAACUAAUGCAUACACAUGUGCACUUCGCACAGGGGUUAAGAAAGGUAGCCUGUAAGAAAGGGAGAGAGAGAGACACACGGGACGACACACAUACACACCCACCCUAAGUGGGGACAAAUAUAAAGCUCAUUUACAUAUCAGGUUUCAUGCCCUGAGAGAAAAAAACUGAAGACGUAUUUAUUGUUUAGCCCUAGGGCUGUCUUAUCUACAACAGCUUACAAACCAGGAACUGCAGUCAGCUCCUACUCUGAUGAAUUGAACUGCAUUCGUUUUUUGAAUACGGGGAUAUUUCAGGCCAUAGAUUACAGUCUACUUCAUAAAAAAAAACGGAAUUGCAAACGUUCUUUUCUUGGAAUAAAGAACAGUCCACGUCAAAGUUCUCAUAAACAUUAGUUCAAGUAAAAGAUCUGACAGCAGAAAAUUCCAUCCACCCCUACCCUCGAGCUUUGCUGGCCCUUUGGGAAGAAUGCUACCUAACAAUCACACUCACAUAGCCUCCAGAGAGAAAUACUGUGUGCAAAAGAGAGGGCCAGGCAGCUGUGGAUACAUCAAGACUCAUAUUGUUCCACGAUGCAAGCCAAUAGCAUCGGCCAUAGCUGUAGAAUCUGGUUUAUGUCCAAAAAGCAUUCCUACACACAUAUUCAUUCUUUCUUGUAUCUCUUCUUCUGUCUUUAUUUGUGUGUGUGUGUGUAUGUUUGUGUGUAUGUGUGUGUGUGUGUGUGUGUGUGUGUGUGUGUGUGUGUGUGUGUGUGUGUGUGUGUGUGUGUGUGUGUGUGUGUGUGUGUGUGUGUGUCCGUGUGUUUGUGUAAAUCACAAAAGUUUACAUUGGUAGAGACAGUAGGAGAGACAGACGCUUCUGUGGUUGUAGGGGGGGGUCAAAAGUCAAGUGGAAACUAAAGGCGAUGAGGGCCGGACUUGUUGGGUCUGGUCUAUACUUAAAUUCCCUGUCAUCUUCAUCAACAUCAUAGUUUUGCGGUUGCAGCGAUAAACAUCUGAACCCUUCUUUGGGAUCAGCCUCUUUUCCCAACACUUUUCCUCCUCUUUUCAUCCAGCACCCGACCCCACCAAAAACACACACAGACUCAUAGACCUUUUCUUCCCCCUUUUCUCUCUAUGGAUGAGUGGUGCCAUUCCCGUGGGAUAGUGGAGGAGGACAGCUUUCCAGGGGCUGUUACAUCAUCAUCCCGGAGAAAGUUUCGCUCUGCGUGUCCGGGCUCGUCGAGAAUUGGUGGAACCACGCGCUCCUAUUCUCUUCAGCCUCCUGAAGGAAUCACAACGCACCCAGGCACUCCGUCGCAGGGCGGGUCCACGCUACACCGAGACUGGGGAGAACACAGGGGAUUGACGUACUGAGGAGGCGAACUGUGACCACAGGUCUUGCUGAUCCCGGGCGCCAGGCCGUGACACGAAUCAAUCAAUUUCUUUAUGAAUAACAUUGCUUUGCUUUUAGUAAUUUGCCCGGAGCUUUUUAAUCCAAAAUGACUCACGUGCAGGACGGGAGCCAAUUAAAGCAUUAUCCAAC
ensembl:lncRNA